UUGAACUGAAGAGUUUGAUCCUGGCUCAGAUUGAACGCUGGCGGCAUGCCUUACACAUGCAAGUCGAACGGCAGCACGGGCUUCGGCCUGGUGGCGAGUGGCGAACGGGUGAGUAAUACAUCGGAACAUGUCCUGUAGUGGGGGAUAGCCCGGCGAAAGCCGGAUUAAUACCGCAUACGAUCCACGGAUGAAAGCGGGGGACCUUCGGGCCUCGCGCUAUAGGGUUGGCCGAUGGCUGAUUAGCUAGUUG
rnacentral:rRNA from 1 species